AUUGAACGCUGGCGGCAGGCCUAACACAUGCAAGUCGAGCGGAUGAAGAGAGCUUGCUCUCUGAUUUAGCGGCGGACGGGUGAGUAAUGCCUAGGAAUCUGCCUGGUAGUGGGGGAUAACGUUCCGAAAGGAACGCUAAUACCGCAUACGUCCUACGGGAGAAAGCAGGGGAUCUUCGGGCCUUGCGCUAUCAGAUGAGCCUAGGUCGGAUUAGCUAGUUGGUGAGGUAAUGGCUCACCAAGGCUACGAUCCGUAACUGGUCUGAGAGGAUGAUCAGUCACACUGGAACUGAAACACGGUCCAGACUCCUACGGGAGGCAGCAGUGGGGAUAUUGGACAAUGGGCGAAAGCCUGAUCCAGCCAUGCCGCGUGUGUGAAGAAGGUCUUCGGAUUGUAAAGCACUUUAAGUUGGGAGGAAGGGCAGUAAGUUAAUACCUUGCUGUUUUGACGUUACCGACAGAAUAAGCACCGGCUAACUUCGUGCCAGCCGCCGCAGUAAAAC
rnacentral:rRNA from 1 species